UACGAAGGGUGCAAGCGUUACUCGGAAUUACUGGGCGUAAAGCGUGCGUAGGUGGUUCGUUAAGUCUGAUGUGAAAGCCCUGGGCUCAACCUGGGAAUGGCAUUGGAUACUGGCGGACUGGAGUGCGGUAGAGGAUGGCGGAAUUCCCGGUGUAGCAGUGAAAUGCGUAGAGAUCCGGAGGAACACCGACGGCGUAGGCAGCGCCCUGGACGACACCUGACGCUGAGGCACGAAAGCUGGGGGAGCGAACAGG
rnacentral:rRNA from 1 species